CAGAAUGAAAAAUAUUUUACUUAAGAAUUAUGACUAAAAUCACCAACAAUCCGUUCUUUCUUCAUUUUUGAAGAGAUAUUCUUGUGUUCAUGUAAAACUUUCCUAAAAAAGUUAAACGUGCCUCAACCUUGAACCAAUAACAAAUUGCUUUGUAAGAAUAUACGAUACAUGUUAAAAAAAUUUUUUGAUUAUUGUUACUAAUUUUGGUAUUAAAAUUCUUUUUAAUAAGACUUAAUUAAUAAUCUUGAGUUCAAGUAAUAAAAAACUGACAUUUUCUAUUAUCAACUUCUCUCUUUUUAAUUAGAUAUUGUUUUGAUAUAAUCUUGAAUGGAAUAAGAUUAAUAGAUUUUUAUAAAAUUUUAAUCACCUCAAAGAUAAUUAGAACCAACUAAUAUUCACCAUAAUUAUAGCUUGAAAAAAUCAACACUUCUUAAUUAUUCAAAUGAAAUCUAUAGACCACAAUGAAAAGUAUUUUAGUUAAAAAUUAUUACCCAAAUUACCAACAAUCAGAUCUUUCUUUACUUUUGAACAGACCUUAUCAAAUCAAAGGUAACAUCCUAGGAAUCUUUCUCGAGAGAUGUCUAUGUCAGUACCAUGUUAUCAACUUGUAACUAGAGUAUCAAAGCAAAGAUAAAAUCCUAGGAAUCUUUCUCCACCACAUAAGUAAAACCAGAAUGAAACUUCAAUACCUAUGAAAAAUGAAUUUUAUAUAAUGCAAUCUGCAAAUAAUGGGAAAUUAAAACAAUAAGGAUCACACUUCAAAAUAUAUGAUGCUGCAAACCGAACGAAGGCCCACAAAUGGCAAAAUCACACUAAUAGGUAAUGGAUCCAGCAAGAGCAUAAUUUUCGAGAAGCCAAUUCACAAAUAAAUUAGAAAUUUUUCUCUAGAAAAUUCAUUUAAACCUAUCAAUUAUGAAGAUUGACCCAGAUGAAAAUUAAAUAAAAAACACAAACUUUUAUCAAUCACGCAAAAGAGGCCAGCUAAAACUUCAAGACAUUUGAAAAACAAUAAAUUCUACACCCAAAAAAAGGACAAAUUUGAGACCAACCCACAACAAUUAAAAAUCAACUAAUCACUUUUUUUCUCAUCGAUAAUUUUCUUUCAACCUAAACCUAGAUUAGAAAAUCAUUAAGGAGGUUCAUUAAAGUCUUACUUUAAAACUUUACCAACUUCCUAAAAACAUAUGAAGAUAAGUGGAUUUUUGUCCUACCAUACCAAACAUAAGAUAACUUUUAUUACUAAAGGAAACAUGAGAGAG
rnacentral:lncRNA from 1 species